rnacentral:lncRNA from 1 species
UUUUCUUUUUCUUUGGGUCAAGGUAGAAUACCAUGGUUACAAUGUUUAGUGGCUCUCGCAUGCAUACCUGUUUAGCUUUCAAAGAGCCAUAUCACUUUGUCUUCUACUUUGUGUUUGCCAGCAGAUUCCAGCUUUAGUCCAAUGCGCGAGCACUCUUAUUAUUGUUCACAUCAUUCGGUCGUGCAAGUGAAAGGCAAUAAUGACGAUAUAUGAUGAAGUGAGUAAGCCUGGAAAAGCUAGUAUGAACUCGAU